GGACNNAAGUCUGAUCCAGCCAUGCCGCGUGAAGGAUUAAGGCCCUCUGGGUUGUAAACUUCUUUUAUAGGGGACGAAAAAAGGGCUUUCUAGCUCGACUGACGGUACCCUAUGAAUAAGCACCGGCUAACUCCGUGCCAGCAGCCGCGGUAAUACGGAGGGUGCAAGCGUUAUCCGGAUUCACUGGGUUUAAAGGGUGCGUAGGCGGGCAGUUAAGUCAGUGGUGAAAUCUUCGAGCUCAACUCGGAAACUGCCAUUGAUACUAUCUGUCUUGAAUAUUGUGGAGGUGAGCGGAAUAUGUCAUGUAGCGGUGAAAUGCUUAGAUAUGACAUAGAACACCAAUUGCGUAGGCAGCUCGCUACACAAAUAUUGACGCUGAGGCACGAAAGCGUGGGGAUCAAACAGGAUUAGAUACCCUGGUAGUCCACGCCCUAAACUAUGAUUACUCGACAUAUGCGAUACACUGUAUGUGUCU
rnacentral:rRNA from 1 species